rnacentral:rRNA from 1 species
UAAACGAUGAGUGCUAAGUGUUGGAGGUUUCCCCUUCAGUGCUGCAGCAAACGCAUUAAGCACUCCGCUGGGGAGUACGACCGCAAGGUUGAAACUCAAAGGAAUUGACGGGGGCCCGCACAAGCGGUGGAGCAUGUGGUUUAAUUCGAAGCAACGCGAAGAACCUUACCAGGUCUUGACAUCCUUUGACCACUCUAGAGAUAGAGCUUUCCCUUCGGGGACAAAGUGACAGGUGGUGCAUGGUUGUCGUCAGCUCGUGUCGUGAGAUGUUGGGUUAAGUCCCGCAACGAGCGCAACCCUUAUUGUUAGUUGCCAUCAUUUAGUUGGGCACUCUAGCGAGACUGCCGGUGACAAACCGGAGGAAGGUGGGGAUGACGUCAAAUCAUCAUGCCCCUUAUGACCUGGGCUACACACGUGCUACAAUGGGAAGUACAACGAGUCGCUAGGCCGCGAGGUCAUGCAAAUCUCUUAAAGCUUCUCUCAGUUCGGAUUGUAGGCUGCAACUCGCCUACAUGAAGCCGGAAUCGCUAGUAAUCGCGGAUCAGCACGCCGCGGUGAAUACGUUCCCGGGCCUUGUACACACCGCCCGUCACACCACGAAAGUUUGUAACACCCGAAGUCGGUGAGGUAACCUUUUGGAGCCAGCCGCCUAAGGUGGGAUAGAUGAUUGGGGUGAAGUCGUAACAAGGUAACCA